UUAAGUUAUUAAGGGCGCACGGUGGAUGCCUUGGCACUAGAAGCCGAUGAAGGACGUUACUAACGACGAUAUGCUUUGGGGAGCUGUAAGUAAGCUUUGAUCCAGAGAUUUCCGAAUGGGGAAACCCAGCAUGAGUUAUGUCAUGUUAUCGAUAUGUGAAUACAUAGCAUAUCAGAAGGCACACCCGGAGAACUGAAACAUCUUAGUACCCGGAGGAAGAGAAAGAAAAUUCGAUUCCCUUAGUAGCGGCGAGCGAAACGGGAAGAGCCCAAACCAACAAGCUUGCUUGUUGGGGUUGUAGGACACUCUAUACGGAGUUACAAAGGACGACAUUAGACGAAUCAUCUGGAAAGAUGAAUCAAAGAAGGUAAUAAUCCUGUAGUCGAAAAUGUUGUCUCUCUUGAGUGGAUCCUGAGUACGACGGAGCACGUGAAAUUCCGUCGGAAUCUGGGAGGACCAUCUCCUAAGGCUAAAUACUCUCUAGUGACCGAUAGUGAACCAGUACCGUGAGGGAAAGGUGAAAAGCACCCCGGAAGGGGAGUGAAAUAGAACCUGAAACCGUGUGCUUACAAGUAGUCAGAGCCCGUUAAUGGGUGAUGGCGUGCCUUUUGUAGAAUGAACCGGCGAGUUACGAUUUGAUGCAAGGUUAAGCAGUAAAUGUGGAGCCGUAGCGAAAGCGAGUCUGAAUAGGGCGUUUAGUAUUUGGUCGUAGACCCGAAACCAGGUGAUCUACCCUUGGUCAGGUUGAAGUUCAGGUAACACUGAAUGGAGGACCGAACCGACUUACGUUGAAAAGUGAGCGGAUGAACUGAGGGUAGCGGAGAAAUUCCAAUCGAACCUGGAGAUAGCUGGUUCUCUCCGAAAUAGCUUUAGGGCUAGCCUCAAGUGAUGAUUAUUGGAGGUAGAGCACUGUUUGGACGAGGGGCCCCUCUCGGGUUACCGAAUUCAGACAAACUCCGAAUGCCAAUUAAUUUAACUUGGGAGUCAGAACAUGGGUGAUAAGGUCCGUGUUCGAAAGGGAAACAGCCCAGACCACCAGCUAAGGUCCCAAAAUAUAUGUUAAGUGGAAAAGGAUGUGGCGUUGCCCAGACAACUAGGAUGUUGGCUUAGAAGCAGCCAUCAUUUAAAGAGUGCGUAAUAGCUCACUAGUCGAGUGACACUGCGCCGAAAAUGUACCGGGGCUAAACAUAUUACCGAAGCUGUGGAUUGUCCUUUGGACAAUGGUAGGAGAGCGUUCUAAGGGCGUUGAAGCAUGAUCGUAAGGACAUGUGGAGCGCUUAGAAGUGAGAAUGCCGGUGUGAGUAGCGAAAGACGGGUGAGAAUCCCGUCCACCGAUUGACUAAGGUUUCCAGAGGAAGGCUCGUCCGCUCUGGGUUAGUCGGGUCCUAAGCUGAGGCCGACAGGCGUAGGCGAUGGAUAACAGGUUGAUAUUCCUGUACCACCUAUAAUCGUUUUAAUCGAUGGGGGGACGCAGUAGGAUAGGCGAAGCGUGCGAUUGGAUUGCACGUCUAAGCAGUAAGGCUGAGUAUUAGGCAAAUCCGGUACUCGUUAAGGCUGAGCUGUGAUGGGGAGAAGACAUUGUGUCUUCGAGUCGUUGAUUUCACACUGCCGAGAAAAGCCUCUAGAUAGAAAAUAGGUGCCCGUACCGCAAACCGACACAGGUAGUCAAGAUGAGAAUUCUAAGGUGAGCGAGCGAACUCUCGUUAAGGAACUCGGCAAAAUGACCCCGUAACUUCGGGAGAAGGGGUGCUCUUUAGGGUUAACGCCCAGAAGAGCCGCAGUGAAUAGGCCCAAGCGACUGUUUAUCAAAAACACAGGUCUCUGCUAAACCGUAAGGUGAUGUAUAGGGGCUGACGCCUGCCCGGUGCUGGAAGGUUAAGAGGAGUGGUUAGCUUCUGCGAAGCUACGAAUCGAAGCCCCAGUAAACGGCGGCCGUAACUAUAACGGUCCUAAGGUAGCGAAAUUCCUUGUCGGGUAAGUUCCGACCCGCACGAAAGGCGUAACGAUUUGGGCACUGUCUCAACGAGAGACUCGGUGAAAUCAUAGUACCUGUGAAGAUGCAGGUUACCCGCGACAGGACGGAAAGACCCCGUGGAGCUUUACUGUAGCCUGAUAUUGAAAUUCGGCACAGCUUGUACAGGAUAGGUAGGAGCCUUUGAAACGUGAGCGCUAGCUUACGUGGAGGCGCUGGUGGGAUACUACCCUAGCUGUGUUGGCUUUCUAACCCGCACCACUUAUCGUGGUGGGAGACAGUGUCAGGCGGGCAGUUUGACUGGGGCGGUCGCCUCCUAAAAGGUAACGGAGGCGCUCAAAGGUUCCCUCAGAAUGGUUGGAAAUCAUUCAUAGAGUGUAAAGGCAUAAGGGAGCUUGACUGCGAGACCUACAAGUCGAGCAGGGUCGAAAGACGGACUUAGUGAUCCGGUGGUUCCGCAUGGAAGGGCCAUCGCUCAACGGAUAAAAGCUACCCCGGGGAUAACAGGCUUAUCUCCCCCAAGAGUUCACAUCGACGGGGAGGUUUGGCACCUCGAUGUCGGCUCAUCGCAUCCUGGGGCUGUAGUCGGUCCCAAGGGUUGGGCUGUUCGCCCAUUAAAGCGGUACGCGAGCUGGGUUCAGAACGUCGUGAGACAGUUCGGUCCCUAUCCGUCGUGGGCGUAGGAAAUUUGAGAGGAGCUGUCCUUAGUACGAGAGGACCGGGAUGGACAUACCUCUGGUGUACCAGUUGUCGUGCCAACGGCAUAGCUGGGUAGCUAUGUGUGGACGGGAUAAGUGCUGAAAGCAUCUAAGCAUGAAGC
rnacentral:rRNA from 1 species